CCACAGAAGACAGCCCAUUUGAGGGCAGUCCCUCAUGGUCAUUAAUUUCCUUAUGGCAACCCCACCAUCAGCCACCACUCUUAUCUGUCUUCUUUGAUAGGCAGGCGUUUUUUCUAAAGUGAAAGUGAUUGAAAUGGAAUCCAACGACAAAAUAAUGAAUAAUUAGAUCAUAAAAAUAGAGUAGAGAGUAAAAUACAAAUGCUAAAGCAUUAUUUUUCUAUACAUAUUGGUUAUCCGUCGCAUUUGAGACAGGUUUAAGGCAGAACAUGAAGUUCUUAUUCCAGUGCCCAUGUUGCUCUUGUUUCUGCUUCGUGAAGCCCCAGAAGGGUAAACCAAAGGGGAAACCAGUCGAAGCUAAGCCUCAGAAACCAGUGGAAGCCAAGGCAGAGAAACCAGUCGAAGCCAAGGCAGAGAAACCAGUGGAAGCUAAGGCAGAGAAACCAGUCGAAGCUAAGACAUAGAAACCAGUUGAAGCCAAGGCAGAGUGAUAGCCCGAUGUAUUUGGAAACGACAAUGCAACUACUAGUAUUUUUCAAGAUCUCUUAUUUCUGUUGGCAACUAAGCAGCAUAAGCUCGACAUGAAAUAGAAUGAGUGAGGCAUUUGCUCAGUAUUACGAUGCUUGUAUAUUUCAAUAUAUUUAGUUAAAAAUAAUAGAUGGAUAACCGUUAUCCUCGAAUCAAGAUUACUGUUUGUAAAUCAUGCUUAAUUCUUAAUGCAAUUCAGCAAGAUAUUUAAUAUUUUUUUCUCUAGUCUAUCUUACUGAUCCAGCCAACAGUGAAUAAAUGCACAGUGAUCUUGCUCUCAAGGCCAUAUACAAGUUUUAUUGAAGACCCUCAACUCCGAGGAGGCGACGGGUAAUAUAAACAAUUUGAAAGAAGUUGAAAGAUUUAUUUAUUGGAAUCAAAUUCUUUCAAAAUUUCUUCUGAAAAGGAAAUUGGCCCUUCGUCCAGUGAAGAAGAACAACAAUCAUCCUUGAAUAUUCUGGCAAAAGUUGUCUGAUGUCCUUAUCUUGCACAAUUUACUGGUGUUGUUUUCAGUUGUUCUGCUUAGCUCCCUAUUGCCUUCAGUUGUUGCUCAAGGGCCUGGGAACAACACUAGUAAAUGGCAAACAAAGGGUAAGAUAUGUCCAAGAAUUCCGUAGGUGUAUUACAAGACCCCGGUCAAGAGGGUAGCUGAUAAGCUCCCCCAUAAUUGUCCAUUUGUGUCUGAAGUUAAUGUCAGAUAAAAGGAUUUCGCCAAUAGUAUUCCGUGCAAUGAUGUAUUAAGCAGUUAUUACUAGAAAGAACUAUGUAUUUAUAAAUUGUGUAACUAGAAUUUCAUCUCUAUAAACAUUAGUUUUGUAACAGUCCAAGCUCCCUUUGGUUUUCUUAUCUUCGACUUGGAUUCAUCUAACAUUCCUAUUCAAUGCACU
rnacentral:lncRNA from 1 species